UACGAAGGGGGCUAGCGUUGUUCGGAAUUACUGGGCGUAAAGCGCGCGUAGGCGGACGCUUAAGUCAGGGGUGAAAGGCCGGGGCUCAACCCCGGAACGGCCUUUGAUACUGGGUGUCUGGAGUCCGGAAGAGGUUGGUGGAAUUCCGAGUGUAGAGGUGAAAUUCGUAGAUAUUCGGAGGAACACCAGAGGCGAAGGCGGCCAACUGGUCCGGAACUGACGCUGAGGCGCGAAAGCGUGGGGAGCAAACAGG
rnacentral:rRNA from 1 species